rnacentral:misc_RNA from 1 species
CCGCGUAUUGAUUUUGCACUUUUUCUUCUUUAGCAUUGUUCGUCACAUUUGUUCUGACUUCUCUCUCUUUUGUCGCCCACCAUACAUAUAUUCUUUACUUCUCCUCUCCAUUUUCUUCACUUUGAUGCGAAGAAGAAAAUGCAAUGUCCCAGCAACUCCUUUCGCUACAAUGCUACACAAUGCGAGUGCAACCCUGGUUACUUGUUUAACUUCACAAGUAGAAUAUGUUACUUGUUUGAUGAAUGGGGUCCUGUGGAAAGUGAUUCUGGGGUUGAUUAUAGAUCUUUAUCGUUUCCUGGAAGUGGUGCCCUUUUCGAUUUUGAUUCAAUUAGGAGGUUAACUCAAUCGCAAGCGGUCUUUCUUGAAGCUACUCUUAUUAUGUUGCUUUCUUGGCUUUGUUUCUGUUUUUUUGCUCGGUGUGCUCCGCUUGGUGAUGGCCGUUCUAUUUGGUUUAAGAUCCGAUGGUGGAUUAGUCGACUUGAUAUCUGCUUUGCAUCUCGGCACUGGCUUGAUGACCAGAAGGUAGUCAUGAAGCGGAAAACAGAGCUUGGUGGAACUUUUUCAAUAGCUAGCUGGAUACUUUUUAUUGGUCUUUUUGCUGCUUUGCUAUACCAUAUAAUAGCGAAGCGAGCUAUUGAGAUGCACAAUGUGAGAGCAACAAAUGCACCUGAUUUAGCUGCUUUUAUAAACGAUUUGGAGUUUAAUAUCACUACAAUCUCAAGUAUGAGCUGCCUACACUUACGUGGUCUUGGAACAGUCGUAACUGGGAAUCCAGGGUUGAUUGACUAUCGAUUUGCUCCUCUUUCAACAUUUGCCAACUAUUCCUGUAUAAACACAACUAAGGGACCGACCAUUAUGCUCAAGUGCAGCAGAUGUCCACUUAGCCGGGACAAUGCCUAUAUUUCAUGGCAAUUUGUUGAUCUCCCAAAUAGUCCUGCAGCAGCUGCUGGAUUUCAGUUCAAUCUAACAGCAACAGAUCCUAAAAACAGGAAACAUGUUAGCUUGGUCAGUGGGACACUGAGAAAUGGAAGCAAUUUUGACGACAAACCAGUUACAUUUAGAGGGCUGACACCAAAUAUAUUGAAGUUCAAUUUUUUUCCGAGAUUGUACCAUAAUUUGAAUGACCUGAAGCUCAUCCAACCACUACUUCAUGAGUUUCUCCCAGGUUCCUCUUUUGAUGAGGUAAGUCAACUCCAAGCAUCACUCGAACGCCCCAACGAUGGUCUAAUCAACACGACAUUGUACAUCAAUUUCCUAUCUUCAUAUAUUGUUGAGAUAAAGGAUCAAAAUGUUAUGGGACCUGUAAGCUUCCUUGCAGAUGUUGGUGGCCUUUAUUGCGUUAGUAUUGGCCUCUUCUUCUACAUUUUGGUGCAGUGUGAAUAUAGGAUAAAGAAAUUGCGCAAUGAGGAUAGUGUGAUGCGAAAGGUUAGAAGUCGCCGAAAAGCUCAAGACCGCUGGGAUAAAUUGAGGAAAUAUGUGAUGUACACGUACGCUCCUAACCAAUUGGAAGAGGAGUAUGACAUGAGAAAUGAUGGUUGUUGCACAGGCGUCAAGAUGGAAUCACUCCAAAAAAAGAGCUCUUCAGUUAGAGGAAAAGGGUCUAGCAGAUUAGAUACUAUCAGUUUUAGCAGAAAAGUUGGCUUACCUAGUGAGAAGAGGGCCAUUCCAGAGAAGAUUGAUACUCAAAGUGCGACAUAUAUUUUGCCUGUAUCUGCAACAGAUCUCCAAAAGAAUACACAUCUGAAGGAAAAAAGAUUCCAAGAAAAUGCUGUACCUCCAAACACAAAAGGUAGAAAUCCUGAAGACAUAGUUGCUCCAGAUGUAGAGAAUGCUCUUCAGGCUCCAGCUUUUCCUGCAGCUAAUGACGUAACUGUUCCGCCUCCGCCCCUUUUAAAAUUGCAGGCUGCUGAUCAUGUAAGUAUGACCAAUCUCCAGAAAGAUCUCCAAAACCUCUAUGAAUAUAAUAUGAUGCUCAGGGAAAAGUUGAUUGCUGCCCAAUCGAUGCUUCAUUCAUUAGCCAUCAAGGAGUCAACUUUAGCAGCUGAUAAUGGCGAUAUUAUUACUAGAGAAUGAUUAUGCUCAAUUAAGGUUGUAGGUGUGU